AUUGAACGCUGGCGGCAUGCUUUACACAUGCAAGUCGAACGGCAGCGCGGGCUUCGGCCUGGCGGCGAGUGGCGAACGGGUGAGUAAUACAUCGGAACGUGCCCAGUAGUGGGGGAUAGCUCGGCGAAAGCCGGAUUAAUACCGCAUACGACCUGAGGGUGAAAGCGGGGGAUCUUCGGACCUCGCGCUAUUGGAGCGGCCGAUGGCAGAUUAGCUAGUUGGUGGGGUAAAGGCCUACCAAGGCGACGAUCUGUAGCUGGUCUGAGAGGACGACCAGCCACACUGGGACUGAGACACGGCCCAGACUCCUACGGGAGGCAGCAGUGGGGAAUUUUGGACAAUGGGCGAAAGCCUGAUCCAGCAAUGCCGCGUGUGUGAUGAAGGCCUUCGGGUUGUAAAGCACUUUUGGCGGGAACGAAAAGGACUGUGGCAAUACCACGGUUCGAUGACGGUACCCGCAGAAUAAGCACCGGCUAACUACGUG
rnacentral:rRNA from 1 species